AUGCUAUUCAGUUUUAAGUUAAAACAGAAGACAGAAACAAAAUUUCAGAGCAGGGAGCAGCAGAAGCAACCUGCAACUUCUUUAGAGAAGAACUCGAAGGCACGUACUCCACCGGCUGCAGGGGAGAAGCAGAAGCACGAGCUCGACCGGCUCCAGAAGCACGAGCACCGCCGUUUUUUGUUCACCGGAGAAGCUACCGUGACGAGCUUCAGCGGCGGCAAGCGGAGGACCACGACGGCCGGGCCAACCAGCAAGGAAACGAGUGGGGAAUUGAGAGGGGACGGCGUAGCUCUCGGCGCGGCGGAGCUCGGACUGGCUCGGGGAGGACUGAGGUCGCCCGUCGGCGUCGAGCUCGUGGGGGCAGCGGCGGUCGUGGUGGGAGGAGAUGGCUUCGAUUCCAUUGAUCCACGGCCGGAGGCAGCGGAGAAGCUUCAGGAGAUUCUUGGGGGAUAA
rnacentral:rRNA from 1 species